UACAGAGGUCUCAAGCGUUGUUCGGAUUCAUUGGGCGUAAAGGGUGCGUAGGCGGCGCGGUAAGUCGGGUGUGAAAUCUUGGAGCUUAACUCCGAAACUGCAUUCGAUACUGCCGUGCUUGAGACUGGAGAGGAGACUGGAAUUUACGGUGUAGCGGUGAAAUGCGUAGAUAUCGUAAGGAAGACCAGUGGCGAAGGCGGGUCUCUGGACAGU
rnacentral:rRNA from 1 species